GUAGGGGGCGAGCGUUGUCCGGAUUUAUUGGGCGUAAAGAGCUCGUAGGCGGCUCAGCAAGUCGCCGUGAAAACCUGGGGGCUCAACCUCAGGACGCCGGUCGAAACUGCUGUGGCUAGGGUCCCGGUAGAGGAGAGUGGAAUUCCCGGUGUAGCGGUGAAAUGCGCAGAUAUCGGGAGGAACACCAGUAGCGAAGGCGGCUCUCUGGGCCGGCACCGACGCUGAGGAGCGAAAGCUAGGGGAGCAAACAGGAUUAGAUACCCUGGUAGUCCUAGCCGUAAACGUUGGGCACUAGGUGUGGCGGAUUCGAUUCGACAUCUGCCGUGCCGAAGCUAACGCAUUAAGUGCCCCGCCUGGGGAGUACGGUCGCAAGGCUA
rnacentral:rRNA from 1 species